rnacentral:rRNA from 1 species
UACGUAGGGGGCAAGCGUUGUCCGGAUUUAUUGGGCGUAAAGCGCUCGCAGGUGGUUCGAUGCGUCGUGCGUGAAAGACCCCGGCUCAACUGGGGGGUGUCGUGCGAUACGGUCGGACUGGAGGCCAGUAGGGGGAUGCGGAAUUCCUGGUGUAGCGGUGAAAUGCGCAGGAUAUCAGGAGGAACACCCGGUGGGCGAAAGGCGG